rnacentral:lncRNA from 1 species
GACUCCAUUUUAUUCUAUUGAUCUAUGUCUAUUAUUUCUGGACUCUCAAGAGCCAUUUGCUUAUCAUUAAUUAAAACAAUUUUGCAUGAAAUCUCAACAGAGUUAUAUGUUCAUAUCUAUCACCAUGGGAUGUUACAUAGGCAUACAUAUGCCACGGUGGUUUACUGCACCUAUCAACCCGUCAUCUAGGUUUUAAGCCACCCAUGCAUUAGGUAUUUGUCCUAAUGCUGUCCUUCCCCUUGCCCUCCACCCCCUUGAGUUGCUUUUCAGUUUCCAAAACUGCCAUUGUGUUUCUCUUUCCUUUUUUCUUUAUUAUUGUGGGUUUUGUUUUCUUUACCACAGCUUUAUUGAGUUAUGAUUGACAUAGAAUAAACUGCACAUAUUUAAAAGAUAUAUUUUUAAAAAUAAUUAAUUUUUUAUUUUAUUUUAUUGACAAAUAAAAAUAAUAUAUAUAUUAUUUUGUACAACAUGGUGUAUAUAUACCUAUUUUAAAAUAGGUAUAUAUGGAAGAAUGGCUCCAUCAAGCUAAUUAAAUAUGCCUUACCUCAAAUACUUUUUCGUGGUGAGAACACUUAAAAUUCAGUCUCAGUGAUUUUUAACAAUAUAGUACAUUCUGAUUAACUAUAGUCACCAUGUUGUACAAUAAAUCUCUUUAAGUUAUUUUUCCUAUCUAGCUGAAAUUUUGUAUCCUUUGGCCAGCAUCUCUCUAACUGCCCCCCCGCUCCAUCCCAGGAAACCCCAGUUCUACUCUCUACUUCUAUUGAGUUCAGUUUUUUUAGAUCUUCUAUAUAAGUGAGAUCAUUCAGUGUUUGUCUUUUUGUUCCUGGCUUAUUUCACUUUGGGUACAUAUCUAAAGGAAAUGAAAUCAUUAAGUCGAAGAAAUAUCUGCACUCCCAUGUUCAUUGUAGCGUUAUACAAAAUAGCCAAGAAUGAAAUCAACCUAAGUGUCCAUCAAUGAAUGGAGAGAUAAAGAAAAUGCAGUAUGUUUACCCAAUGUAAUGCUAUUCAGCCUUAAAAAGGAAGGAAAUCCUGUUAUUGUAAAAACAUGGAUGAACCUAGAGGACAUUAUGUAAAGAAUAUAUUUCAAUAAUUUUUAAUAUAUGUAUACACCUGUGAAACUGUCACCACAAUCAAGAUAGUAAAUAUAUCCAUCAUCACCCCAGGGUGUUCUUUUUUCUUUUUUGAGACAGUCUCUCUCUGUUGCCCAGGCUGGAGUGCAUUGGUGUGAUCUUGGCUCACUGCAACCUCCAUCUCCCAGGUUCAAGUGAUUCUCCUGCCUCAGCCUCCGGAGUAGCUGGGACUACAGGCACAUGCCACCAAGCCCAGCCGAUUUUUGUAUUUUUUAGUGGAGAGGGGGGUUUCACCAUGUUGGCCAGGCUAGUCUUGAACUCCUGACCUCAAAUGAUUCACCUGCCUCAGCCUCUCAAAGUGCUGGGAUUACAGGCGUGAGCCACCGCGCCCAGCCACCCCAGAGUUUCCUGCUGCCCCUUCAUAACCUUUUUUCCUGAACCUUUGCAUCUUCCUUCGCUGCCUUUUCCAGGCAAUCUCUGAUCUUUCUGUCACUAUGCAUUAGCUUGCCUUCUCUAGUAUUUUAUAUAAAUAGAAUAUAUAGUACAUAUUAUUAUCUGGUCUGGCUUUUCUCACUCAGUGUAAUUAUUUUGAGAUCCAUCCAUGUUGUAGCAUGUGUCAAUAGUACAUUCCUGUUUUAUUGCUGAGUAGUAUUCUCUUGUAUUGAUAAAUCUACUGAUGGGCAUUUGCAUUGUUUCCAACAUUUGGCUAUGACCAAUCAUGCUUUUAUAAAUAUUUGUGUCUAAAUAUUUGCAAGAACAUAUGUUUCUAUUUCUCUUAAAUAAAUACCUAAGAGUGGAAUGGCUGGGUCAUAUGGUGGAUGAAUGUUAAACUUUUUAUGAGUUAGCCAAAAGCGUUUCAUAGUGAUUAUACCAUUAAACAUUCCUACC